rnacentral:rRNA from 1 species
CCUACGGGUGGCAGCAGUGAGGAAUAUUGGUCAAUGGACGGAAGUCUGAACCAGCCAUGCCGCGUGCAGGAAGACGGCUCUAUGAGUUGUAAACUGCUUUUGUACAAGGGUAAACCUGAAUACGUGUAUUCAGCUGAAAGUACUGUACGAAUAAGGAUCGGCUAACUCCGUGCCAGCAGACGCGGUAAUACGGAGGAUCCAAGCGUUAUCCGGAUUUAUUGGGUUUAAAGGGUGCGUAGGCGGAUUGAUAAGUUAGAGUUGAAAUGUCCGAGCUUAACUCGGGAACUGCCUCUAAUAAUGUUGUUCUAGAGAGUAGAUGCGGUAGGCGGAAUGUAUGGUGUAGCGGUGAAAUGCUUAGAGAUCAUACAGAACACCGAUUGCGAAGGCAGCUUACCAAUCUAUAUCUGACGUUGAGGCACGAAAGCGUGGGGAGCAAACAGGAUUAGAUACCCUAGUAGUC